UCUUAAAUUCAAAGCAGCAAAAAUACCCAAUCUAUUUCUGGCUCUUUAACCCAGCCAACCUUUAUAACCGACCUGGCCCUUUUCCCUUUUCUCCCAGAUCGAUUCAAAGCAAGGGAAACAUAAUCAAGAGAUCAGCGUAACCUAGACGCAGCCACACCAUUAGGAGCACCUGACACUCUUAACGUGAUGGAAAGCAACUGCGCGUGUCUCCCUCACUGCUCGAUCUCUCUCUGCGUGCCUCUUCGUCUUCAAAGGCGUGUGAAAAAAAAGACUAGCAACGGAUUCCAGGAUUUUGUUAUUGUUCGUACGAUUGCAGCAGGGCAGAGUCGUCUACGUUCCUGUCCUUGCAACAACGUCCUUGUCUCAUGCGGAUAGGCGCCACAUCGAGCCUCUAGGACAAGAGGAGAUCAAUCAAAACCAUCGAUGUUCUUUUAAAAUUUUAAUUUUUUUUCCUAAAAAUCCGGUUUUCUCAUGAAGAGGCAAGUUUUGUCCUCGUCUAAAAAGAAUUUUCAAAUUUUGAAUGGGCUAGAAUGGUCGACUUUGCCUUUUUCCCUCCUUCUUAGAAAACCCUAAAUCUGAAUCCUAUAUAUAUUUUCUUGGAUGGGUUGUCUAGAGAGAGGUUUUUGUUUUGGUGAAGGCGGAAAUUCUGCAAGUAAAAGGUAAGGAGGAUUUCGGAAAUUUUUCCUUUAGUUGGAUAUUUUUAAAUUAAAAAAGCUAAAAGAAAAAAAAGAGAGGAGAUUUUCGAGUUAGAGAAGCCUUUGGGACUGGGAGAAUUUUUUUAAAGCGACGAAGAACUGAGCGAUACAGUUUCUGGUGUCAUCUGCUACAGUUGGUCCUUCUAAGCUCUCAAAGUCGCAGUUCUGGUAGUGUCAAAGUCACCGUUCUUUUACUCAUUUCCAUCCCUGUUUCGCUGCACACUUAAAGAAAUCUGUCCGGGUUCAUCAAGUACUCCAAUCAUUCCUCUUGAAUUUUGGAAGAGCCGUAAAGGUUCAAGAUUCAGUAUCCUGAGUCCACCCAUAAGAACAGACGAAUAGUUUCUGAAGCUGAAAUAGCAUGAGGGAUCGAAGAACUCGAAGUGGAAGAGUUGAAGAGAAUGGGUCAACAGGGCCCAUUUUAUUUAUUCAUUGUACCUUAAGUAUUUUCUCGUUUUGGGCCUAAGACCCUGUCCUCUUUGUAUUACUAUUUAUAGAAUCUAGGAUAGGAACCAAGUGAAGUGGGUCAAAACCCAAAAAUAAUGGGUCUAAAUAUCGGUCCAGGCGGACAGAACCCGAAUUUGGACCCAACCCGACUCUCUCUCCUUAUCUCUCUCUCUCUCUCUCUUAUUUUCAUUUUCUUAUUUGCUUUUA